AUGAUCCCACUGCUUCCAAGGCCACGCCAGGUAUUCCUUCUCCUUUACACGCUUCACCCAAUACAGCCAGGUACCACAUUCUCCACAGGAACUUUAUUGCUCAGGCUGGUAGACACGGGACUGAAAGAAGGCACUGAGGAUCCCCCCCUUCUUUACAGCAUACUGGUAAGUACAUUGGGCAGUAUAAGAUUCCAUCAUCUCCAGCACAUGUCACUUUGCACUUCAUCUUCUUCCCCAGAGGAGGAGAUUGCAGCAGAUACACACAACCCUUUGUUGUCUCACUCUGAAGGCAACUUUGGGAUAGACCAUCUCUCUGUGUGCAAGGGCUGGGAACAGCUCAGCCAGCAAAGCCCCAGCGCCUCAGGGAAGAUCCGUGGGGACCCAGUGCUGGCAGGUGUCCUCCUUUAAGCGUUAACAGUGAGGACCAUCUGUUCACAAGUUGGUGCUUUCUGCAGCCCUCGCUGAAGCUACGCUAGAAAUACAGCCCAGGGUUGAGACAAACACAUGGAGGUCCAUCACUGACGACUGUUCUGAGGAGAACAGACUCAAAUUAAUGUAAUCUGUUGUCUAUUAUUAAAAGCAGACUAACGUAUCCAGAAAUGAAGGGAAACAAAAAACAACAUCCCUCUUCUCCCACCCGUCCUCUUCUUCAUCAUCCCCCAGUGCGCUGCAGAGGAACGGGGUAUGUGGAGGUAAGAUCUCUCUGUAAUGCAAUCCUCAGUCUGCGAUUGUGCAAGAACUGCUCCAGGAUGUGUCCAUACAACAGGGUGCUCUCCUUUAGGAAAUGAAUGCAGCAGAAAGUGUGUCCCGUGGGUGGCAGCUCCUGCAGGGUCCAGUGCUCAUCCAUGAGCUUCUCUCUCCAAGGGCUGCAGUUCUGGCCCAGAGUCUGCUCCCGUGAGGGCUCUGCACGGCCUGCAGCCUCCUUCAGUCCAGAUGCAUCUGCUCCACCGUCAUCUCCUCCCUGGCCAUUACAGCGCUAAACAAAGACUUAAUGGGCUGCUUGAGCACCACGAGAAUUUCACAAAGACAGCGCAAAGCAAGUUUCCAAAGAAGUUUAGGAAUCUGCAUGCCUGCAUUAUCAAACUGCAGUUUCAACAAGGCCACACACUGAGCAGUGUGCCCUCACUUUGGACUAGCCAUGCUUGUAACUCUUUCUUGGACUAGCAAUGGACCUCCUGAGGUGCCUUGCACUCCGGCUCCCUCCAUGAAGCUGCAGUUCUCACAAAC
rnacentral:lncRNA from 1 species